CCUUAACCUGCUAAAUAGGGGGGUGAGCGUGAGCUUGCUGCUUCUUCUUAGAGGGACUAGCUAGGUUUUACUAGCUGGAAGUUUGAGGCAAUAACAGGUCUGUGAUGCCCUUAGAUGUUCUGGGCCGCACGCGCGCUACACUGGCAGAGGCAGCGAGUGACCUGACCCGAAAGGGCUGGGUAAUCUUGUGAAACUCUGCCGUGAUGGGGAUAGACCAUUGUAAUUAUUGGUCUUUAACGAGGAAUUCCUAGUAAGCGCGAGUCAUUAGCUCGCGUUGAUUACGUCCCUGCCCUUUGUACACACCGCCCGUCGCUACUACCGAUUGAAUGGCUUAGUGAGGCCUCUGGAUCCUCGCGAGGGGAGAAGCUGGACAAACUUGGUCAUUUAGAGGAAGUAAAAGUCG
rnacentral:rRNA from 1 species